rnacentral:lncRNA from 8 species
GCUGCCAUACUCUUCAAUCCCAAAGUCUUCCACUCACCCACUCACUCCUCCACACUCAUCCCUCUCCACUCACCUCUCCCCACUCACCCCUCUCCACAUCCCUCUCUACUCACCCCUCUCCACUCACCCCUCUACACAUCCCUCUCUACUCACCCCUCUCCACAUCCCUCUCUACUCACCCCUCUCCACUCACCCCUCUACACAUCCCUCUCUACUCACCCCUCUCCACAUCCCUCUCUACUCACCCCUCUACACUCACCCCUCUACACAUCCCUCUCUACUCACCCCUCUCCACUCCCCCCUCUACACAUCCCUCUCUACUCACCCCUCUCCACUCCCCCCUCCCCACUCACCCCUCUCCACAUCCCUCUCUACUCACCACUCUCCACAUCCCUCCCCACUCACCACUCUCCACAUCCCUCUCUACUCAUCGCUCCCCACUCACCCCUCUCCACAUCCCUCCCCACUCACCCCUCUCAACAUCCCUCUCUACUCACCGCUCCCCACUCACCACUCUCCACAUCCCUCCCCACUCACCCCUCUCCACAUCCCUCUCUACUCACCGCUCCCCACUCACCCCUCUCCACAUCCCUCCCGACUCACCCCUCUCCACAUCCCUCCCCACUCACCCCUCUCCACAUCCCUCUCUACUCACCCCUCUCCACAUCCCUCUCUACUCACCCCUCUCUACUCACCGCUCCCCACUCACCCUCUCCACAUCCCUCUCCACAUCCCUCUCCGCUCACCCCUGUCCGCUCACCCCUCCCCACUCACCCCUCUCCACAUCCCUCUCCACUCACCCCUCUCCACAUCCCUCUCCACUCAUCCCUCUCCACUCACCUCUCCCCACUCACCCCUCUCCACAUCCCUCUCUACUCACCCCUCUCCACUCACCCCUCUUCACAUCCCUCUCCACUCACCCCUCUCCACAUCCCUCUCUACUCAGCCCUCUCCACUCACCCCUCUCCACAUCCCUCUCCACUCACCCCUCUCCACUCACCCCUCUCCACAUCCCCCUCUACACAUCCCUCUCUACUCACCCCUCCCCACUCACCCCUCUCCACAUCCCUCUCCACUCACCCCUCUCCACAUCCCUCUCCACAUCCCUCUCCACUCACCCCUCUCCACAUCCCUCUCCACUCACCCCUCUCCACUCACACACAGUUUCGCACACCACACACACUGUCACACACCCCCUCUCUCUUGAGAACUGGAGAUCACAUUACGUGUGUGUUUGGUCCCCCUUGUGGGAUUGGUACUCAUCCAUCCCCUGUCCCCCGGCCCCCAUCCUCCGUCCCCUGUCCCCCGUCCUCCGUCCCCCAUCCCCCAUCUUGUCCCCCAUCCCCCGUCCUCCGUCCCCCAUCCCCCAUCCCAGUAUCCCUAAAUCCCAACAUUCUCAUGAGUUAUAUGGGGAUAAAUCACUGCCUGGAUCCUUUGAAGUGGUUUUUUUAUGAUAAUUGGUCACGCCUGUCACAUUUUAAGACCUUGGUUUUCAUGCAUUCCAUCAUUAACAGUACGUUUUAUAACCCCAGAGGCCCAGUGUGCCGUGUGAAUUACCCCAGUGGGAAAGCACUGAUUAAUCCUGCGCGGGAUUUUGCAUCCUAA